CUUGCAUGCUUUUUCUUUAUUUAUUUCUUUCUUCAUUUAUUUAUUUACUAAUUUGCACUCACUCCAUUGCACGUUCAGUGAGCACAUAAAGUAUGAAAGCUUGAAUUGGCUUCAUGCAGAG
rnacentral:ribozyme from 12 species